AUUUGAUAGUUUUUUUUUAAUGAUGAAACUAAAGCACUUGGUUCAUUCAUGACCUCUGUAUUUUUCCUUUUUCCUUGGAUUCAAAGAGAAAUGGAGAUUUUCAUUUUGUUAACUACCUUGCUGUUGUUAUCCAGACCUUCUCUUGCUGAUACUAAUGAGAUUCUUGGUUUGCAAUGUUCAGGCUCUGAUAAUGCUACCCUGGAGAAUCAAUACCAAAUCAAUCUCAACAAUCUCCUGGAUUCACUUGCAGCAAAUGGGCCUGUUCACAAUGGAUUCUACACUGCCACAGCGGGGAAAGAUGCCUACAUGAUUUUCGGCCUUACCCAAUGUAGAGGCGAUAUUUCUCCCACAGACUGUGCAACUUGCAUCAGGAACUCUACCAUGGUGCGUGGCUGCUCAACUAGUAAGAACGUUACUAUAUGGCUUAAAUGGUGUCUUCUUCGGUAUUCAAACAUUAGCUUUUUUGGUGUAUGGGAUCAAUCUGCAAUGGCUUUAACCAACGAUACUAAUUUCGAAGAUUCAAACGUGGUUUCUAAAGGGCUUAACUUCAUGAAUGAGCUUGCUGCUACUGCUCCAGAGCCACCUUUGAUGUUCCAGACUGCGGUAUUGGAUGUGGGACCAAGUGGGAAGAGGUAUGGGAUGGCUCAGUGCAGCAGAGAUAUCAGCAGGAGUGACUGUGGCAAGUGCUUUAGUUACCUGUUGGUGACUUUUAGAACCACAAUUGGGAACAAAAGAGGAUGGGAGAUUUAUGGGGCUAGUUGUAGCAUGUGGUAUCAUGAUUACCAAUUCUAUUUCAACUUCUCAAUCCCCGUAAAUGAAGGAGCUGUGCAAAUCUCAAAUGAACGAGUUGCAAUUGGAUUGAUGAUCCCAGUUCUAGUGUUCCUGUUAUCUAGCCUUUGAAUGGUUUUCUUUUGGUCAGCGAAAAGACGAGGGCUGCAGUCAGCCGCACGUAAAGGAAAUUUUUUUUUUACAGGUUUCUUGCAUUUUCCAUUAGGAUAUUUACAAUUUGUUCUUUAAAUUUUACCCCAUAUUACCCUUGAAUGAUA
rnacentral:misc_RNA from 1 species